rnacentral:rRNA from 1 species
AGUGAACGCUGGCGGUAGGCCUAACACAUGCAAGUCGAACGGCAGCACAGUAAGAGCUUGCUCUUACGGGUGGCGAGUGGCGGACGGGUGAGGAAUACAUCGGAAUCUACUUUUUCGUGGGGGAUAACGGAGGGAAACUUACGCUAAUACCGCAUACGACCUACGGGUGAAAGCAGGUGAUCUUCGGACCUUGCGCGAUUGAAUGAGCCGAUGUCGGAUUAGCUAGUUGGCGGGGUAAAGGCCCACCAAGGCGACGAUCCGUAGCUGGUCUGAGAGGAUGAUCAGCCACACUGGAACUGAGACACGGUCCAGACUCCUACGGGAGGCAGCAGUGGGGAAUAUUGGACAAUGGGCGCAAGCCUGAUCCAGCCAUACCGCGUGGGUGAAGAAGGCCUUCGGGUUGUAAAGCCCUUUUGUUGGGAAAGAAAAGCAGCAGGUUAAUACCCCGCUGUUCUGACGGUACCCAAAGAAUAAGCACCGGCUAACUUCGUG